AUUGAACGCUGGCGGCAUGCUUUACACAUGCAAGUCGAACGGCAGCACGGGGGCAACCCUGGUGGCGAGUGGCGAACGGGUGAGUAAUAUAUCGGAACGUACCCGGAAAUGGGGGAGUAACGCAGCGAGAGUUGCGCUAAUACCGCAUAUGCCCUGAGGGGGAAAGCGGGGAUCCGCAAGGACCUCGCGUUUUCGGAGCGGCCGAUAUCGGAUUAGCUAGUAGGUGGGGUAAAGGCCUACCUAGGCGACGAUCCGUAGCUGGUCUGAGAGGACGACCAGCCACACUGGAACUGAGACACGGUCCAGACUCCUACGGGAGGCAGCAGUGGGGGAAUUUUUGGACAAUGGGCGAAAGCCUGAUCCAGCCAUGCCGCGUGAGUGAAGAAGGCCUUCGGUUGGUUAAAGCUCUUUCAGCCGGAAAGAAAGACGCAUGGGUGGAA
rnacentral:rRNA from 1 species